rnacentral:rRNA from 1 species
ACUGUGAUGCCUGGCUGCUUCAACGCAAGUGUUGUAGUUAGAGUUGAUCAGCUGUGCGUGAUGUUUCUCAGCUUGUUAGUCAACCUUUGUUCGUGCUUGGGGAUAACUGCAGGUUCCAUGGUCUUCCCUGCGGGGUUGAUCUCGUGCCUGUUAGGACUCAGGUGUGUACACUUGGUGACAAAAUGGUUCUCUUCGACCCGUCUUGAAACACGGACCAAGGAGUCUAGCACAUGUGCAAGUUCACAGGUGGCAAGCCUGCUUGCGCAAUGAAGGUGACUGCUGGGAUAUUUGCACCAGCAACCGACCAAUCAAUUGAGAGAAGUUUGAGUAUGAGCAUAUGUGUU